AGCGAACGCUGGCGGCAGGCCUAACACAUGCAAGUCGAACGGAUCCUUCGGGAUUAGUGGCGGACGGGUGAGUAACACGUGGGAACGUGCCCUUUGGUUCGGAACAACUCAGGGAAACUUGAGCUAAUACCGGAUGUGCCCUUCGGGGGAAAGAUUUAUCGCCAUUGGAGCGGCCCGCGUCUGAUUAGCUAGUUGGUGAGGUAACGGCCCACCAAGGCGACGAUCAGUAGCUGGUCUGAGAGGAUGAUCAGCCACACUGGGACUGAGACACGGCCCAGACUCCUACGGGAAGCAGCAGUGGGGAAUCUUGCGCAAUGGGCGAAAGCCUGACGCAGCCAUGCCGCGUGAAUGAUGAAGGUCUUAGGAUUGUAAAAUUCUUUCAGCGGGGACGAUAAUGACGGUACCCGCAGAAGAAGCGCCGGCUAACUUCGUG
rnacentral:rRNA from 1 species